rnacentral:snoRNA from 1 species
AGUGCACACUGUUAAAGCCGGGCAUUGAUGUGAAUGUUCUGGUGUCGGAAGUGUGCUAAAGAAAGCAGGCCGGUUUUUCGCUAACACCAGAAGGACAGCUGUCCCAUGACUGGGGUUUGAUAGUGACUGAGCCACAAAC